UACCGAGGUCCCGAGCGUUGUUCGGAUUCACUGGGCGUAAAGGGUGCGUAGGUGGCGAGGUAAGUCGGAUGUGAAAGCUCGGAGCUCAACUCCGAAAUGGCAUUGGAAACUCCCUUGCUCGAGGGUUGGAGGGGGGACUGGAAUGCUUGGUGUAGCAGUGAAAUGCGUAGAUAUCAAGCGGAACACCAGUGGCGAAGGCGAGUCCCUGGACAACUCCUGACACUGAGGCACGAAAGCUAGGGGAGCAAACAGG
rnacentral:rRNA from 1 species